rnacentral:rRNA from 1 species
CAGCAGCCGCGGUAAUACGAAGGGUGCAAGCGUUAAUCGGAAUUACUGGGCGUAAAGCGCGCGUAGGCGGUUUGUUAAGUCUGUUGUGAAAUCCCCGGGCUCAACCUGGGAAUGGCAAUGGAUACUGGCAAGCUAGAGUGUGUCAGAGGAUGGUGGAAUUCCCGGUGUAGCGGUGAAAUGCGUAGAGAUCGGGAGGAACAUCAGUGGCGAAGGCGGCCAUCUGGGACAACACUGACGCUGAGGCACGAAAGCGUGGGGAGCAAACAGGAUUAGAUACCCCGGUAGUCCCUGUCUCUUAUAC